GUCAUUAGAUGGCCUUUAGAAAAAUGUUUUUUGGGGGGAAGUGGGGCAGUGUGCUAUAGAGGUGUGCUGUGUGUGUCACUAAUUCACGGAUGGGAUAAAUGCAGAGACCAAAUUCCUUGUAUGUGCCUUCACGGCCUAAGCUUUUGUCCGUAAUGGCAUUUUUGUUCCCCUUGCAUUACUUUGACUUUAAUACUUUAAGUAGUUUUGAAACCAGUACUUCUAUAC